rnacentral:lncRNA from 7 species
GGGUAUCUCUUGCUGGAGAUUCCUGCCUACCUGAAGUGAAGCUUUCCAUGGUGAUCUCUCUGAGCCUCAAACCCCACCUCUGCCUUAUUGCUGCUAAAAAAUAAGUAACAACAACUAGCCUGAGGGACAGGUUGAGACAGUGGGAUGGUUUUCACUUAUCAGUUAAGGUAACUAAUUCUAAUGACCUGGUAUGCUGCAACAAAGCCUAAGCCACGUCUUCAUUGGCAGCUGAAGCCAGUACUGUUACCCCAACAGGAUUACUGAUCAUCUUUGGAAUUCUAUUGGAGAGUAGAGGCCUGCCAUCUUAGUGGCAUGCAGUUAAUGACUCGUAUGGGAAGGUUACUACAAUAUCCAGUUUUGAUCUUCAGCUACCAGACUUUGGAAGAAUUUGAUAUACAGAAGAACAAAAUGUUAUUAGAGCCUGCGGUACAAAUGUUGGAGCUUUAAACUAUCAGCCUAAAUGGGUCUUCAGAUGGAAUCAUGUAAUAAACACUUACAUAUGUUCUGUCUCUUGUGGGCAGUGCUGAGUUUGCAACUGAGCUAGUUUCCACUGAAAAAAUUCCAACUAAUGCUGCCCACAAAGCUCUGCCCAAACAACGUUCAUGCUUCUCCUACAGAACCACAUUUGACAUAAAGCUCUAGUGAACUCAACUUAUGGUCUGUAAGAUCUGCCUCUUGUUGCCUCCAAAUCUUUUCUAUAUAUGAAAGAUCAGCUGAAACAUGGGCAGUAUAUGCUGGAACAUUUGUCAGGUGUUUUAGAAGGCCGUGGCUGUGGCAGUGAGCAGUUCUGUGACUAGAUGGUGCACUUGCCACGUGGUAUAUGAGAACUGCAAUUAGAGAGGCAAUAGUUGCUCUUUACAAAGAUAUCUGUGUAAGCUCAGGUUGUGAUUAUAAUGUGCACAUCUGUCUUCGUCUUUGGAGAAGGAUUAUUUCAGCCGUGGGAUAUGUGGAAAUUCUGGGUUUUGAGCAUUGAAACCAUUAAUGGCAUAUAUUCAGUACAACUUAAAAUAGGGAAAAAAAAAAGUACAGUAUGUCUGUCCAUAUAUUCAGCUACAAUUUAUAUUGCCCGAUUUGCAGAUUUGCAAUUACACUGUACUUAAACUUGCCUGACAAUUCUCUUUCUAGGAGCCUGUGUUGGGGUUGCAAUAGCAAUGCCUGAUGCAAAUCAUCUCUGCUCAGGUUUCCCAUGCUCAGUUUCUGGCUCAGACUAAUGUUGUUUUAAGUCUCAGCAAAAAAAAAAAAAAAGCUUGGUUUUCAAGGAUGAGAAUAGAUUGACUCUUCUGCUUUUUAUUUUAAAAAUAAUAAUCUGACAGUUGUGUUGAAGCUUAGCAGUUCAAUCUCAAAGGCUGCUCAUACAAAUUUUGUGUCCUUUUAACGUGAGUCUUAUUGGGGUUCCACACAUUUCUAGGUAUUAGUGCAACAGUUAAAACAAGUAAAUGCCAGAUUUAUUGGAAACAACUCAUCCCAAUGAAAGUCAAGCCUUUUAAAAGUAGUACAUCUCCUACAGGCCAGAGCUCUACCCUCCUAAAGUCUCAGGGCUUCUGGAUAAAAUUUACUGUCUCACAGAUAACGACUUAUUGUGCCUUAACUGGCCCUGUUACAGGCUUCAUGAAGCUGCCUAUCAGCUGCAAAUAAAGAAAAGCUAUU